rnacentral:lncRNA from 1 species
AUGUCCUAAAUGUUCUGGCAUGUCCAGUUUGAUGCUUUCUACUUUCAGAGAGAAGAAGAGUAGAUGGGGAGCAGGGAUUGCGGCCUAAUUCUAGCCUGACCGUUCUUUGUUCUCUCAAUGGGCAUCAAGUUUCGACGCCCAACGAUGCACCUGUAUCUUCCGGAUGUGAGGUGGAGAUAUUUUACUGGAUGCGAAAAAGACAACUUUAAAUAAAAACAGUUCGAUUUGUUGGAGAUUUACACAAGGGCC